rnacentral:rRNA from 1 species
GUUUAAAAAACAUGGUUUUUUGAUUAUAAUUUAAAAUUGACUCUGCCCAAUGAAAUAUUUUAAAUGGCUGCAGUAUAUUGACUGUACAAAGGUAGCAUAAUCAAUUGUUUUUUAAUUGAAAGCUUGAAUGAAAGGGGUGAUAAAAUUAAUACUUUAUUUAAAUUAAAAAUUUUAAUUUAAAAAUUUAGUAAUAAUAGCUAAAAUUUUUUAAUAGGGACGAUAAGACCCUAUAGAAUUUUAUAAUAAAUUAAUUUUAUAAUAAAUUAAUUUUUUAUUUUGAAAUUGUUUAUUAUUUUAUUGGGAGGGUAAUUAAAUUUAUUGAACUUUAUUUAAAAUGAUUUCAAUGAUAUUUGUUUUUUUUGAUUUUAAAUUAUUAAUUUUAAGAUUAAAUUACCUUAGGGAUAACAGCGUUAUAUUUUUGGAGAGUUCUUAUUAAUAAAAAUGGUUACGACCUCAGUUUGA